UUUUAUCUCAAUUUUUCCCUAAUUUUUUUCCGGUUCUCUUCAAAUUUACCAAUCUUAUGGCUUAAAUUCAUUGUUGUUGUCAAUAUUUUUCUGCUUAAUCAAAAUUGUUUGUUCAUUUCUCUUUUACGUCCUUAAUCAGUCUACUAUUAUUUUGCGUCCUUGCAUGAUAUUAUUUUUCUUCAAACUACUAUUUCAAUUCUCUUCAUCUUCUCAGCUAGGUGUUCUAAUUACAGGUAUGUUUGUCUUUCAAUUUUGCCCAAAAGUUCAUCACAUUACAAUAUCUACAAAAGAAUAAAGAAUAAAUACGACAAAUUUUGCUUUCAGGUAUUGCUCAUAGUUGAAAUUUGCCUCAUAGAACUUGGGGAUAAACAAUAAUUCAGAAACUUAAUUAUAAGCUUUUGAUUUCAAUUUUCUUUUUACUUGAUUCUGGCGAAGGCUUCUUUACAAUGAAACUCGCAUUUUUAUUUUCCUAUACUAUUGCUCAAAAUGCAUUCUUUUAGAAGUAUACGCUUUGUCAAUAUGAUUAUAUCACUGAUCUCUAUUUCAUCAGAGAAGUUCACUAAUUAAAUGGUUUCCAGUUAUGACCAGUUAACAAGAAAACAAAAAAUCACCCUAGAGCGUAGUUCUCAAAUUAUAAGAUAUGAAUAUGUGCCUACUAAUUAAUUAAUUUUUAGAAGAGCAACUAAACUGAACUAGUAGAUGUCCUAAGAGUGAAGCAAGGGACGACCAAUGGCAUUUCAGUAAUAUAUUGCUAAUUUGAGGGCAGAUUGUCAUACGUAUAAUCUCAGCUUUCUCCUUCGUAUCCGUUACUUUCUGGAAUCAACUCGCUCUUCCACAGCUCUCCUAAUUUUUCAGAUUUUUCAAUAUCGAUGCGGGUAGCUUUGCCGUGUUCAUGAGCAACAGACCAGGUUAGGUUAUCUAGAGUGCUGAUGUUUCUGGUGAGAAGUAUGAGAAAAUGAUAUGUCAUAUUAGGUCUUCUAUUUGAACUAUGUCCCAUCUCUUUAUUACAAUACGGGAUUUUUCUUCUCAUUAGUAGCACUAAUGAUUGUGCACUCAACGCUAUAAAUUGGAUAAAGCUUGAUAGAUUAGUCUAAUUUGUAUGAUGAUGAAACUAGAAAGCUUAUUAUAACAAGUUACACUUCAGGUCUCAUGUGCAUGCAUAGCUUUGCUCGCCUAUUCUGAAAUAAAAUAACAAUUUUUUAUGAGGUUUUCUGCAGUUUAUGUUUAAAACUAAAUACAAUUUUCAGUAGUUCCUUAACUAGUUUCUUAACAUACGAUGCCUAAUCAUUUUUUGUUUGAUCGAGAUGGAAAAUUCUCAGUAUGGAAGUGGUGUAUAAGAAUGUUUAAGUAGGCCUUCUAUUGAAGGAUUAAUUGAGUCUGAAUGCUACAUAUAAUCAGGUAUAGAAUCAACAAUUUUUAAAAAAAAUCCUAACUGGAUAAAAAGAACUAUAAAUAUAAUCCCUCAAAUUGCAGAUAUUGUUGAAGAGUUCUCAUCAUUGAAAUUUGUUCACAGUUCAUAAUUUAAAAAUCAUCAUAAUAGGUGUAUGAGUGCACGUAUGGCCAGGCCAUAUGUGAGCUGAAUAUUACCUCGGAAUCUGUUGAAUAUGUCAAGGCCAUGCAGCUGUGCAGUAAAUCGCAUCUUUCUUUGUGUAAUAAUAAACUAAAAGCUGAAGUUAUUCGCUAACUAUCAGUUAGGGAUGCAAUUUUUUCCUUUUUUGAUUGAGCUUGCUCUGACUAUCGACUCACAAUUCCUUCUUGACCUUCUACGCCAGUUGGCUAUGAAUGAACCUAUCAACAUCGCUUCUUGGUCAUUGGAUGGACCAAGGAAAUAAGAAACUUUAACUCAAGAGGGAUUCAGAGAUGGUUAGAUUUACUGCAAUAGUAAAGUGGAUAGCGUAAACUUUCUGUACCAAGAAAAUUAGAAGUUUCGAUAGGAAUUAUUAUCAGUGAUAAAGAAAAAUUGCUUCGGAGAUCCAAAUUCAUUAUAUAAUAUAAAGAAUGAAUAAGCAGUUUCUACGUAGGCCUUACUCUCCAUAGUCAUAAAAAUAAUGGAUUCCGUAGUGAUACUAUGAUUAGUUUGAAAAUUUUGAUCUGCAGUCUAUAAGGUGAUUUGUGACUUCAAAAUGGUUGUAGUUUACGAGAUGGUACAAAUGAAGUUUUGCAUCUGCUAAAAAUCUUUAUCUGCCAAAAUACAUGUGUAUUACACGUAAGCCAAAAGGUGAUAAUGUAGCUGUAAGGAGGAAUUCUCAAGGGUUCUUAUGGUUUCAUGGUAUCCAUUUCUUAUAUUUCUUCUACUGACAGAGUGAUUUGAUUUCAAGAGCUUUGGUUUUUUUAUCUAGGUACGUAUAAUAUCAUUAAAAUGUAUAACUACUAACAAAACUCCCAGAACUGACUGUUCUGAUACUAUCCAUAUCAAAUGGAUCCACCCACACCCAGGGAUUUUUAAACUAAAUAUUGACGGUGCUUUUAAGAACAGGUCUACUGCUGCAAUUGGGGAGUAAUUAUAAACUCCAACGGUGACUGGAUAGUGGGAUACUGCAAAAAAGUCCAUGCUAUCUCCCACAAACAGGCAGAAUUAAUGGCACUCCAAGAUGGUUUUCUCCUGGCAAAAUAAAAAAAUCUCACGCUUACUGAGAUUGAAACUAAUUCUACUGAGGUACUACAUUUAUUGCAAUCACCGCUACCUAUUUACCAAGCUAUAAAUUGAUGUUUGCAGGUCUCUAUUGAAGAAGUUGCAGAAUCCACUGGUCAGGCAUUGCUUUCGGCAAGGAAGCCAAGUUGCACAUCUUUUGGCGCAAGAAGUAAUGAAGCUAGCAAUAUAUAAUACUCUAGCUACUAUGGAUAAUCCAUCUACUACUAUAUCAGAAGCAGUCCAGGCAGACUGGGAAGGAACAACUACUACAAAGACAUUUCCUGUUUAUUGGUGUAACAAACUAAGUAGUUUUGGUAACGUUUGUGUAAUGGCUGCGGCUACUAAUAAUAAUAAUAAUAAUAGUGCUGCUACUAAUAGUGCAAAUGCACAUGCUACUUCCUCUGAAGUUACUUAAGAUUAAUAAAAUUGUGUUUAACCAAAAAAAAAAAAAAAAAAGUGAGAAGCUAAUAUUGUCAAAAGUUCCUCGAGAACUAUGACAUUUUAAAUUGUUUCUCCCUUUAUCGGUGUUGGUUUUGAAGUAUUUUAUAAGAUAAAAAAAAUUGAUCCGGAAUCCGAUAUAAUAUCUUUAAGAUGAUUCUCGGUAAAUUAGAUGUCUUACAAGUUUUUCU